rnacentral:rRNA from 1 species
UACGAAGGGGGCUAGCGUUGCUCGGAAUUACUGGGCGUAAAGCGCACGUAGGCGGUCUUUUAAGUCGGGGGUGAAAUCCUGGAGCUCAACUCCAGAACUGCCUUCGAUACUGGAAGACUCGAGUCCGGGAGAGGUGAGUGGAACUGCGAAGUGUAGAGGUGAAAUUCGUAGAUAUUCGCAAGAACACCAGUGGCGAAGGCGGCUCACUGGCCCGGUACUGACGCUGAGGUGCGAAAGCGUGGGGAGCAACAGG